rnacentral:rRNA from 1 species
UACGUAGGUCCCGAGCGUUGUCCGGAUUCAUUGGGUGUAAAGCGAGCGCAGGCGGUUUAUUAAGUCUGGUGUAAAAGGCAGCGGCUCAACCAUUGUAUGCAUUGGAAACUGUUAGACUUGAGUGCAGGAGAGGAGAGUGGAAUUCCAUGUGUAGCGGUGAAAUGCGUAGAUAUAUGGAGGAACACCGGUGGCGAAAGCGGCUCUCUGGGCUGUGAUUGACGCUGAGGCUCGAAAGCGUGGGGAGCAAACAGG